GUCUGACGCUGCUUCUUGGUUUCCACAUAGAAUAACCAACUUGAAAACUCUUUGUCCGUUGAUAAAUUGGACCAAAGAGAAAAUAAAAAAAAGAAUGAACCAGCCAAGCAACUGAUUUUCAUCCCACUAAAAGAAGAAGAUCUUGAGAAGACGGUCCAAAUUUGUUUGCAACUGUCUGAUCCGGAGCGACAGUAACUAAUCAAUCUACUGAGAGCAAAUGUUGACAUUUUUGCU
rnacentral:lncRNA from 1 species